rnacentral:rRNA from 1 species
GACGUAGGGCGCAAGCGUUGUUCGGAUUCAUUGGGCGUAAAGGGCGCGUAGGCGGCGGGGUAAGUCGGGUGUGAAAUCUCAGGGCUCAACCCUGAAACUGCACUCGAUACUGCUCUGCUUGAGGACUGGAGAGGAGACUGGAAUUCACGGUGUAGCAGUGAAAUGCGUAGAUAUCGUGAGGAAGACCAGUGGCGAAGGCGGGUCUCUGGACAGUUCCUGACGCUGAGGCGCGAAGGCCAGGGGAGCAAACGGG